UGCGNNCUUUNCAUGCAAGUCGAACGGUAACGCGGGCUUCGGCCUGGCGACGAGUGGCGAACGGGUGAGUACAACAUCGGAACGUAUCCUUUAGUGGGGGAUAGCCCGGCGAAAGCCGGAUUAAUACCGCAUAAUCUCUGAGGAGCAAAGCGGGGGAUCGUAAGACCUCGCGCUAUUGGAGCGGCCGAUGCCGGAUUAGCUAGUUGGUAGGGUAAAGGCCUACCAAGGCGACGAUCCGUAGCUGGUCUGAGAGGAUGAUCAGCCACACUGGAACUGAGACACGGUCCAGACUCCUACGGGAGGCAGCAGUGGGGAAUUUUGGACAAUGGGGGCAACCCUGAUCCAGCCAUGCCGCGUGCGGGAAGAAGGCCUUCGGGUUGUAAACCGCUUUCGGACGGAACGAAAUGGUUGAGGCUAAUACCCUCAAUUGAUGACGGUACCGUAAGAAGAAGCACCGGCUAACUACGUGCCAGCAGCCGCGGUAAUACGUAGGGUGCGAGCGUUAAUCGGAAUUACUGGGCGUAAAGCGUGCGCAGGCGGCUCCUUAAGACAGGUGUGAAAUCCCCGGGCUUAACCUGGGAAUGGCGCUUGUGACUGUGGAGCUGGAGUGCGGCAGAGGGGGAUGGAAUUCCUGGUGUAGCAGUGAAAUGCGUAGAUAUCAGGAGGAACACCGAUGGCGAAGGCAGUCCCCUGGGUCGACACUGACGCUCAUGCACGAAAGCGUAGGGAGCAAACAGGAUUAGAUACCCUGGUAGUCCACGCCGUAAACGAUGUGAACUANAGGUAGGAGGUGUUGAUCCCUUCUGUCUCGCAGCUAACGCAUUAAGUUCACCGCCUGGGGAGUACGGU
rnacentral:rRNA from 1 species